rnacentral:rRNA from 1 species
UACAGAGGGGGCAAGCGUUGUUCGGAUUCACUGGGCGUAAAGGGUGCGUAGGUGGUGAGGUAAGUCGGAUGUGAAAUCUCCGAGCUCAACUCGGAAACUGCAUUGGAAACUACCUUGCUCGAGGGUUGGAGGGGGGACUGGAAUGCUUGGUGUAGCAGUGAAAUGCGUAGAUAUCAAGCGGAACACCAGUGGCGAAGGCGAGUCCCUGGACAACUCCUGACACUGAUGCACGAAAGCUAGGGGAGCAAACGGG